rnacentral:lncRNA from 1 species
CAGAUAUUACGAUUAUCGGGCUUACUUUUAACAUCCAGAUAAAAACAUCAUGCUUAGGUGAUAAUGAAGGCUAACGAUGAUUAUUACAAGUUUACUUAAACAUCCAGAGGAAAGCAAAGCUUAAGAGUUUGAUUAAAAAUAAAAAGGCUUGCAUUGAAUCACAAGUUAAAAACAUCAAAAGAGCUUCGUCCUCUCCAAAGAGAGAGAGAGAGAGAGAGAGAGAGAGAGAGAGAGAGAGAGAGAGAGAGAGAGAGAGAGAGAGAGAGAGAGAGAUCUAGAGAGCUUUCUACACCGUAGUCUUCAUAGACAUCUCAGCUUCCCUGUACCUCUUGAUAGCCUCCCUCCUCUUGGCCAUCUCAGCUUCCUUCAACAUCUUAACCCUCUCAGCAAAAAGACCUAAAAUAAUAACUAUGAAUUUAUGAGAAAUUAUUACUUUGUUACAAAAAGAAGAAUCAAGAAUCAAGAACAAAAGCAGUAUGUACCUAGGAAAGGAGAGCAAAUAACUCGGGGUUGCUUGUCUUCUUUGGGUAAGUAACCAGCCUCAGCAACUAUUUUGCAUCCUAACAUGUCACUUCCACACUAAGUGCCAGAGCCUUCUGUAGUGAGCCUUCUCCAAAUAUACAAACGGCAGCCUUGCUGUAAAGAUCAACACAGACACAUGUCUUAGUUUUAGCAUUUAAAGAAAGAAAAAAAUCACUAACACAAAUUGGAGAAAGAAUCGAUAUUUAUUUGGGCCUUUUCACUUUAAGGACUACUAUUUGGCGCAUAAUGUUUUCCGAAAUUUAUCGGCCCAAAAUCAG